UCGAGGGUGUUUGGUCCUCUGGUGCAGCAGGAGACAUGUUGGUGGAAGUUAGGGAGCGAUUUCUUCAGGUUGGCUUUGUUGAAAUUCCCGACAAUGGUGGUAAAUGCCUCUGGGUAAGAUGUCUUGUAGUUGUUGA